AGUGAACGCUGGCGGUAGGCCUAACACAUGCAAGUCGAACGGCAGCACAGUAAGAGCUUGCUCUUACGGGUGGCGAGUGGCGGACGGGUGAGGAAUACAUCGGAAUCUACUUUUUCGUGGGGGAUAACGUAGGGAAACUUACGCUAAUACCGCAUACGACCUACGGGUGAAAGCAGGGGAUCUUCAGACCUUGCGCGAUUGAAUGAGCCGAUGUCGGAUUAGCUAGUUGGCGGGGUAAAGGCCCACCAAGGCGACGAUCCGUUGCUGGUCUGAGAGGAUGAUCAGCCACACUGGAACUGAGACACGGUCCAGACUCCUCGGGGGGCCAGCAGUGGGGAUUAUUGGACAAUGGGCGCAGGCCUGUUCCAGCCAUACCGCGUGGGUGAAGAAGGCCUUCGGGUUGUAAAGCCCUUUUGUUGGGAAAGAAAAGCAGCAGGUUAAUACCCCGCUGUUCUGACGGUACCCAAAGAAUAAGCCCCGGCUAACUUCGUG
rnacentral:rRNA from 1 species